rnacentral:rRNA from 1 species
UAUUGGGCAAUGGGCGCAAGCCUGACCCAGCAACGCCGCGUGAAGGAAGAAGGCUUUCGGGUUGUAAACUUCCUUUCUCAGGGACGAAGCAAGUGACGGUACCUGAGGAAUAAGCCACGGCUAACUACGGUCCAGCAGCCGCGGUAAUACGUAGGUGGCAAGCGUUAUCCGGAUUUAAUGGGGGUAAAGGGCGUGUAGGCGGGGACGCAAGUCAGAUGUGAAAACCACGGGCUCAACCUGUGGCCUGCAUUUGAAACUGUGUUUCUUGAGUACUGGAGAGGCAGACGGAAUUCCUCGUGUAGCGGUGAAAUGCGUAGAUAUGAGGAGGAACACCAGUGGCGAAGGCGGUCUGCUGGACAGCAACUGACGCUGAGGCGCGAAAGCGUGGGGAGCAAACAGGA